CCAUCUACCGUAAAGCCCAAGGAAGUGCUUAUCCUGAAAGCAAUGGAUAUGAAGAGCCAAAGAAGCAGAAUCGGGUCACAUGGACCAUUGAGCUCCAUGAAAAAGUUUUUGGAGGCUAUCGAAUCUCUUGGGGGAAACAAGUGUAAGUAUAUCUCAUACCUAAAACAUGACCAUGUGCCUUUUAUUUUAUUUUUUUGUGUGGCUAACAGCGGCUACACGUGAGAGGAUCAUGCACCUGAUGACUGUGAAGAUAUAAGCAGCCAUCUCUAGCCUCGUGAAACCUGGAGUUUGAACACAUGGCUGUUCCCAUGGCUUUUGUAGAUGAAGUGGAGCAGCGCUUGUUGUUUUGUAAGGUUUAUGUAUAUAACUAUGUGGAUUGCAAUAGCCCUAAUACCAUGUAUAUACCUCCCGCUGUGGUGCCUAUGAGCCUGUCCCUACGUACAACACCUAACGUAGGCUUGGAUCCUGUCAUCUUAUUUUGAAUCAGUUUCUUGCUGUAUCAAGCCUGUUCAUUACA